rnacentral:misc_RNA from 1 species
GAAAGAUCAGAGGAAGAAGGAAGAACACUUGCUAUUCUUGACAAAAACAACAAUAGUGAUAUGCAAAUCAACAGCAAGGUAUGAAGCAAACCAUUUCCAUGCGCAUACGUCGUAUGCACAAAGUUCUGCACAUUGUUGAUGAUGCGAGGUUGGAGGCGUUUGCUGCUGGGCAAGACACAACACUUCCACCAGUGCAUGCCAUCCCUGAACGCCGUGUGCAAGUGCAAAACGUGCACUUCUAUGUUCUCCAUGGAUGGACAGUGGUGGUUCCACUGUCGGUGGUGGAGUGCGGCCUCCCCACUGUGUCCCCGUCACCACCGGUGCCGGUGGGUGACGCGGGGUCAUCUACAUCCGCACCCAUGGACGUCGAUCUAGUGGUACCACCGCCUCCUCGACCCACUACAACGACAGUUGCUUGUCGUUCCCCAUCUCCGCCUACUUUGGUGGUCGUUGGGACCAUCGCUGCCCGUCGUGGACAGCUCCUCGCGCCGUUGAUGCCACGCGCGACCGCAUCAUCUUCACUGGCCACCGCCCAAACGGGGUGGCCCCAUCUUCCUCCCCAAAUGGGAGGGCCUAAUGGCCCUCUGUCCGGCUGGUGGUGGUUGCCGCCACGACGGCCGGUUGGGGGGAGGGGUGGGGGAGCAGGGAUACAGCCCCUGCGCGGGCGCCACUUGGAGCAUCUCCGGUGUGGGCAAGAUCCAGUCGGCCCAUGGCGCUUGGUGCGGCGCAGGACUGGACCAUGGCAGGUGGCUAUGGCACCGACUGCUGUCUCGGGCACGGACGCCGACCGCGGCAUGGCAGCCAUGGCGCGAUGCAAGAAGCCCACCCGGCGGCUCCUCGGUGAGCGCGCUCGGCCGGCGCGGGUGCUUGGCACCAGACUAUGGCUCGCCCCCGGUGCUGGUUCGGUCGGCCCUUGGUAGUGGCGCUCCGGUGCCCGAGGUGGCCCGGCGUGGGGGCGCUCGGCGAGGAAGCCCAGGCGCGACCGUCCGAGGAGAGGAUGGCCAGGCGAGGGCUGGAUCCCGGCGUGGGCACGCUUGGCUCGGAGAAUGGCGCCAGGCGUGGCUCCCAAGCCUGCUCCUUACGUGACCUCCUGGCGUGCGGAAUGAGGUGGCCGGCUGGCGGAAGACUCCUGCUCGUGAAGCAGACAGCCUGUGCGGCGGCGUCAGCCCAGCGGAUCAGGAGCUUGGUGGCGCAGACCGUGGAGGCGCAGACCACACGGCGGCGACGUCGGCUGCAGGGUCUAGGUGGUUAGGGUUUCCUUUUGAAACCCUAGCCACCCCAUAUAGAAUAGGCGUGUGGCUCCCUAGUGGGCUGCCUGGCUGGGCCAGUGUGCUAGCCACCAGUCUGCUGCCUGGUCCGCCUGGUUGGCCGCCUGGGCUGCUUCCAUGGACCAGAAAAGGCCCAUUUUAUCAUUUUAAUUCUGAAAUUUAGUACAAAACUCAGUUUUUAUAUGUAAUUUCUGUUCUAACUUGUGUUAGGCGUCUAAAUUUGUUAUUUAGAUUGCGGAUUGCUACAUAUAUUGUAAAUACCUGUC